rnacentral:rRNA from 1 species
UCAGAGAUGGUGCCCCCCUUGUGGUCGGUGUACAGGUGGUGCAUGGCUGUCGUCAGCUCGUGUCGUGAGAUGUUGGGUUAAGUCCCGCAACGAGCGCAACCCUUGUCCCGUGUUGCCAGCAGGCCCUUGUGGUGCUGGGGACUCACGGGAGACCGCCGGGGUCAACUCGGAGGAAGGUGGGGACGACGUCAAGUCAUCAUGCCCCUUAUGUCUUGGGCUGCACACGUGCUACAAUGGCCGGUACAAUGAGCUGCGAUACCGCGAGGUGGAGCGAAUCUCAAAAAGCCGGUCUCAGUUCGGAUUGGGGUCUGCAACUCGACCCCAUGAAGUCGGAGUCGCUAGUAAUCGCAGAUCAGCAUUGCUGCGGUGAAUACGUUCCCGGGUCUUGUACACACCGA